AGUGAACCAUUCCCAUCCAUAACCGCUGUGGUCAACUGUCGUAUCGACACCUUUGGUGGAGACUCACUUUUACAAGCAGCACAGAGCUAGAUUCCCCAACGUUAUUGAACAUUAAUUACAAAAUCUUGAUUGACCCAAAAGAGCUGCAUGAUAACUGGCGGAGGACCCUAAAAUCCCGAUGUCGAGACCUGAAAAUUACAAAACCACUGAGCAUGACCACGAUCUGCGCUCAAGAGCAGCUGGCGGGUUUGGUUCUCCUAGUAGACCAAUAGAAAAAGAUGGAGCCGCUGGUGAAGACCUACAAACUGUCAUCAACACGCUUCAAACACAACUAGAAGAACAAAAGAGACAUAUGAAAGAUAAAGAGGAGUCGAUGUUCAGAGAAGUGGAAAAGCAAAGACAUCAAAACCAGGCUUUGCAAGAUGAAAUGGACCGACAAAGGAGAGAACUGAUUGAAGCCAGGGCAAUCUUGUCCCUAAAUGAAGACAGGACAACUGAGACUACAGGAGAAAAUACAACAUUAACAAUCCCGUUUAGCGACACUCACCAUAGUACAACAUCAGUGACAGGAAAUAGCGCAACAAAUACAACAAAAACAGCUGCAUGAUAUAGAUAAAAAUGUUCAUCAGGCUAAGAUAUAUUUGUUUUAAAAUUUUCAGACGAAUCAGACAAAUUGUUGUUAGGUUGCUGCC
rnacentral:lncRNA from 1 species